AGUUCGGCAAUUCAACUGUCAAAUUUGCUAGAAAGUGCCGAGCUGUUCGGUUAGAUGUUGAGGUAGCCAUAUUUGUUUUCGAUAUUAGUAGUGCUCACUGAACUAAGUUCCGGAACUUUGGAUAAAUCGGGAUUUAUACUUGAAUUUCUACAGGAUUUCUGCUUGGAUUUCUACUUGAAAGGUAAACAUUUUUAAUAACAUCUGUUAGGAAAAAUAAUAUCUAAAGGGUCUUUCAUUUGCAGCUUUUACCAAGGAAAUGCAUGACGAUGGUGCUUGGUAGAAGUAUAGGAUUCAUUCUGGUUCAGAUUGUAUUAGAUUAUACAUAAAAAGAGCAAUAAAUAUUAAAAAGCAUGCAUGCAUAUUGUUUUAAAGCUUUAAAUUAAUUGCGAGAAUCUCGAUUUGGUUUUAUUAUGAUAAAUGCCGAGAUUUUCGGUUGAAUUCGUUUCAGGGAUGCCGAGAUUUUCGGCACAAAAAAGCUGGCUGUCAAAAUUAUUUUUGCCGAGACUUCGGCAGAUGAAUUUUCUGCCGAACUCUCUGCCGAGCGCUCAGUUGUUCUGUUUUCGGCAGAAUUCUGCCGAAGUUCGGCAUAAAAAACUGAGUGUGUAAAAACAAAUGAAAAUGACUUCAACAAGAAGAAUUUAGACGAUGAGGCAAAGCGUUCCACAGGCGUGCGCCACGGACUACGAAUGAAUUCCCCAGAUAAUUAGUAUGAUGAGUUGGAAUUAGAAUGUUAUGUGUACGUUGUGAUCUACUAAAGGAAAGUUCUUCAUAUAGAUAAGUUGGCUCUUUGAAUUUAAUAAGUUUAAACAAAAAAAAAACAAGGAGCUGCAUAUGAAAAUAUUUUUGUAAAGGUAUGCCAAGAAUUGACGAUUGAUAUUGAGAAACAUGGUCAUGUCUGCGUAAAUUGUAAAUUAAUCUAAUACAACUAUUGAAACAAACUUUUAAAUGACGUUCAGUUUCUGCUGACAAAUGAGAGAAAAAUACAUUACCGUAAAUAAAGUGAGGUAAAAGA